UUCGGGGUACUCGAGUGGCGAACGGGUGAGUAACACGUGGGUGAUCUGCCCUGCACUUUGGGAUAAGCCUGGGAAACUGGGUCUAAUACCGAAUAGGACCACGCGCUUCAUGGUGUGUGGUGGAAAGCUUUUGCGGUGUGGGAUGGGCCCGCGGCCUAUCAGCUUGUUGGUGGGGUAAUGGCCUACCAAGGCGACGACGGGUAGCCGGCCUGAGAGGGUGACCGGCCACACUGGGACUGAGAUACGGCCCAGACUCCUACGGGAGGCAGCAGUGGGGAAUAUUGCACAAUGGGCGCAAGCCUGAUGCAGCGACGCCGCGUGAGGGAUGACGGCCUUUCGGGUUGUAAACCUCUUUCAAUAGGGACGAAGCGCAAGUGACGGUACCUAUAGAAGAAGCACCGGCCAACUACGUGCCAGCAGCCGCGGUAAUACGUAGGGUGCGAGCGUUGUCCGGAAUUACUGGGCGUAAAGAGCUCGUAGGUGGUUUGUCGCGUUGUUCGUGAAAACUCACAGCUUAACUGUGGGCGUGCGGGCGAUACGGGCAGACUAGAGUACUGCAGGGGAGACUGGAAUUCCUGGUGUAGCGGUGGAAUGCGCAGAUAUCAGGAGGAACACCGGUGGCGAAGGCGGGUCUCUGGGCAGUAACUGACGCUGAGGAGCGAAAGCGUGGGGAGCGAACAGGAUUAGAUACCCUGGUAGUCCACGCCGUAAACGGUGGGUACUAGGUGUGGGUUCCUUCCUUGGGAUCCGUGCCGUAGCUAACGCAUUAAGUACCCCGCCUGGGGAGUACGGCCGCAAGGCUAAAACUCAAAGGAAUUGACGGGGGCCCGCACAAGCGGCGGAGCAUGUGGAUUAAUUCGAUGCAACGCGAAGAACCUUACCUGGGUUUGACAUGCACAGGACGCCGGCAGAGAUGUCGGUUCCCUUGUGGCCUGUGUGCAGGUGGUGCAUGGCUGUCGUCAGCUCGUGUCGUGAGAUGUUGGGUUAAGUCCCGCAACGAGCGCAACCCUUGUCCUAUGUUGCCAGCGGGUUAUGCCGGGGACUCGUAGGAGACUGCCGGGGUCAACUCGGAGGAAGGUGGGGAUUGACGUCAAGUCAUCAUGCCCCUUAUGUCCAGGGCUUCACACAUGCUACAAUGGCCGGUACAAAGGGCUGCGAUGCCGUGAGGUGGAGCGAAUCCUUUCAAAGCCGGUCUCAGUUCGGAUCGGGGUCUGCAACUCGACCCCGUGAAGUCGGAGUCGCUAGUAAUCGCAGAUCAGCAACGCUGCGGUGAAUACGUUCCCGGGCCUUGUACACACCGCCCGUCACGUCAUGAAAGUCGGUAACACCCGAAGCCG
rnacentral:rRNA from 1 species